ACAAAACAAGCGGUGAAUGCUUUGGGGUGGGGUGACUGCGUACCUUUUGUAUAAUGGGUCAGCGACUUAUAUUCUGUAGCAAGGUUAACCGUAUAGGGGAGCCGGAGGGAAACCGAGUCUUAACCGGGCGUUAAGUUGCAGGGUAUAGACCCGAAACCCGGUGAUCUAGCCAUGGGCAGGUUGAAGGUUGGGUAACACUAACUGGAGGACCGAACCGACUAAUGUUGAAAAAUUAGCGGAUGACCUGUGGCUGGGGGUGAAAGGCCAAUCAAACCGGGAGAUAGCUGGUUCUCCCCGAAAGCUAUUUAGGUAGCGCCUCGUGAAUUCAUCUCCGGGGGUAGAGCACUGUUUCGGCUAGGGGGCCAUCCCGGCUUACCAACCCGAUGCAAACUGCGAAUACCGGAGAAUGUUAUCACGGGAGACACACGGCGGGUGCUAACGUCCGUCGUGAAGAGGGAAACAACCCAGACCGCCAGCUAAGGUCCCAAAGUCAUGGUUAAGUGGGAAACGAUGUGGGAAGGCCCAGACAGCCAGGAUGUUGGCUUAGAAGCAGCCAUCAUUUAAAGAAAGCGUAAUAGCUCACUGGUCGAGUCGGCCUGCGCGGAAGAUGUAACGGGGCUAAACCAUGCACCGAAGCUGCGGCAGCGA
rnacentral:rRNA from 1 species